AUGUCCACCUUGCUGUCACUCGUCCUCAUCAGAAUCUUCCACUUCUCUGCCCCAGGAGCCGUCCAUGCUGCAGCCAAUCCUUUCACGACAGCUCCUGGGGCCCAUGGACCCUUCCUGAGCCCCAGUACCCACAUUGGUAAGAGCCCAAGAGAAUUUUGGACUUUCUAUGCCCUGUUCUUAACAGGAGGUAGAGAUAGAAACCAGACCUAAGAGACAACUCAAGUUGGGUAGAUAGGAUUCUAUUUACUUUAUGACCUUAGUCAGUUAAUCUCCCUACUGUCUAUGUGGUUCCCUCUUCUGUGGAAUGAUCAUGGAAAGGCAGGAUGGUUCCCACUCUGCCGGUGGGACUCCUAUCUCUGAAACAGCCAGUGAUAGAGGAUAGCGUUUCACUUGGGAGAGUGGAGAAGGAAGGCUAUGCAGUCUGAAGAGGGAGUGUGGUCAUUGCCCUCAAGGAGACUUGAAAGUCUCUUGGGGAGAUUUAAGGGGGGCCAAAA
rnacentral:lncRNA from 1 species